UACGUAGGGGGCAAGCGUUGUCCGGAAUCAUUGGGCGUAAAGAGCGUGUAGGCGGCUUGAUAAGUCCGCUGUGAAAGUCCAGGGCUCAACCCUGGAAGGCCGGUGGAAACUGUCGGGCUAGAGUCCGGAAGAGGCGAGUGGAAUUCCCGGUGUAGCGGUGAAAUGCGCAGAUAUCGGGAGGAACACCAAUGGCGAAGGCAGCUCGCUGGGACGGUACUGACGCUGAGACGCGAAAGCGUGGGGAGCAAACAGG
rnacentral:rRNA from 1 species